CACAUAUAUAACUCUCUUGGUUUUCUGAUCACAGGUCACACCUCUCCAAUUACAUGGGUCAGGAUCCUCAGGUCUCCAUAGGGGAAGGAUACCAUCUGAACUAACAAUAGCAUUCCUGAAGUUUAGAAGUGCCUCACCUACAAAAUCAGAAAGUGAGUGCAUUCUAUUUAUAUCACACGUGCACUUGGACAUAUGCAUUUUCACACACAAGCAACGAAAAGAAUCCAUGAGGAAUGGAAUAUAGAUUCUGCAAAAUCUACAGCCUAUGAAAAACAUGGAUGUUGGAAACAACGCCUAAUAUAUCCCAGAAAGAAAACACACUCAAGGGCUGAACUACUAAGAUGCUUACAACCAUGCAGAACCCAUUAAUCAUUGUUAAUCACAAAUCUAAUGGAGAAAACUCCAUUAAUUGAUGAAGAAAUGAAAUAAUUGAAAGAGCAAUCUACACUAUUUCCCAUAAGAGACUAGUUAAAUGGUAACUCCCAUCAAAGUUUGGUGGCAAGACAAACGAUAUAUUGUACAAUUAAAAAAAAAUCCACUAUACAAGCAAAGAAUUAGAUCUAAAAUCAGCCACUCAACACUUUGACAUAAUCAUUAAAUUGGUGGCUAGAGCAGAAUACAGGAGAAAAAAAAUCAAAUAUUACAU
rnacentral:misc_RNA from 1 species